CUCAGAAACUUAAAGGAAUUGACGGACCCCGCACAAGCGGUGGAUCAUGUUGUUUAAUUCGAUGAUACGCGAAGAACCUUACCAGGUCUUGACAUCCCCCGCGAUGCUUUAGAGAUAAAGCGGAGGUAUUCGGGGAGACAGGUGGUGCAUGGUUGUCGUCAGCUCGUGUCGUGAGAUGUGGGUUAAGUCCCGCAACGAGCGCAACCCCUAUUGCUAGUUACCAUCAUUAAGUUGGGGACUCUAGCGAGACUGCCAGUGAUAAACUGGAGGAAGGUGGGGAUGACGUCAAAUCAUCAUGCCCCUUAUGACCUGGGCUACAAACGUGAUACAAUGGCUGGAACAAAGGGAUGCGAAGCAGUGAUGUGGAGCGAAACCCAUAAAACAGUCUCAGUUCGGAUUGAAGUCUGCAACUCGACUUCAUGAAGUCGGAAUCGCUAGUAAUCGCGGAUCAGAACGCCGCGGUGAAUACGUUCUCGGGGUUU
rnacentral:rRNA from 1 species